UACCAGCUCUCCGAGUGGUAGGGAUGAUUAUUGGGCUUAAAGCGUCCGUAGCCGGCUUAGCAAGUCUCCUGUUAAAUUCAGCGACCUAAUCGUUGAGCCGCGGGAGACACUACUAGGCUAGGAGGCGGGAGAGGCCGACGGUAUUCUCGGGGUAGGGGUGAAAUCCUAUAAUCCCGGGAGGACCACCAGUGGCGAAGGCUGUCGGCUAGAACGCGCUCGACGGUGAGGGACGAAAGCUGGGGGAGCGAACCGGAUUAGAUACCCGGGUAGUCCCAGCUGUAAACGAUGCGGGCUAGGUGUUGGGGUGGCUACGAGCCACUUCAGUGCCGCAGGGAAGCCAUUAAGCCCGCCGCCUGGGGAGUACGGCCGCAAGGCUGAAACUUAAAGGAAUUGGCGGGGAGCACCACAAGGCGUGAAGCUUGCGGUUC
rnacentral:rRNA from 1 species